CCGCCAUCUCCCUGCAGCCUACGGCAACCUGACUCCUGCCAGACUCUGGUUCUCAGGAAAGCUGACCCUCUUCCAGGAUGGGGUGACCCCAGGGAAGAAAGACCGAUGGGGUGCUGGUACUGGGAACCACCGCCCUCCCCCUACCCAGGCCCCAGGAGAGGCUCCCUCUUUGAAUCCCAGGGCUGCCCCUUCCCUGAGUCUCUGGGUCCCUGUGUCCCCAUGUACGCUUCUUACAAGGAUGCCAGUGACCAGAUUUAGGACCCGCCGUACUCCAGUGUGACCUGUCUUAACUAAGUGACAUCUGCAAGGACCUUACUUCCAAAGAAGAUCACGUUCACAGGGACCAGGGUUGGGUCUUCAACAUAUUUUUCUGAGGAACAUGGUUCAGUCCACAGCACUAACUGAGGGGUGCUGGGGGCUGGGCACGAUUGAAUCUGGGCCAGGAGGCUGCACUGAUGGGGUCGGGGUGGGGGGAAACUGAAGCGCGCG